rnacentral:rRNA from 1 species
AUUGAACGCUGGCGGCAUGCCUUACACAUGCAAAUCGAACGGUAACGGGCCUUCGGGUGCCGACGCGUGGCGAACGGGUGAGUAAUACAUCGGAACGUGCCCGGUCGUGGGGGAUAACGAGGCGAAAGCUUUGCUAAUACCGCAUACGAUCUACGGAUGAGCGCAGGGGCCCGCCAUGGAUUGCGCGGACGGAGCGGCCGAUGGCCGAUUAGGUAGUUGGUGGGAUAAAAGUUUACCAAGCCGACGAUCUUGAGCUGGUCUGAGAGGAUGAUCAGCCACACUGGGACUGAGACACGGCCCAGACUCCUACGGGAGGCAGCAGUGGGGAAUUUUGGACAAUGGGCGCAAGCCUGAUCCAGCCAUGCCGCGUGCAGGAUGAAGGCCUUCGGGUUGUAAACUGAUUUUGUACGGAACGAAAAGCCUUCUUUUAAUACAGGAGGGUCAUGACGGUACCGUAAGAAUAAGCACCGGCUAACUACGUG